AGCUCAGAUAAUUUCUCUGCAUUAGGAAAAUGAAUAAAUUAAAAAGUCGGCUUCAGCAAUUUAGUCCUCAGCAAUUUAGAGAUUCUGCAAGCUCAGUAGAUGUCAAAACCUGCUGAUACCUAACAGAGUCAACUCCAAGUUUGUGUAUCCCGGUCCACUCUACCUUUCCAUCAGGCAGUACAUGUGGAAAUAGAAAAGCAGCUCUCUAAUUAAUCAAAGUCAGAUGUGCCUGAACGCCUGGAGUUGCUGCUGAUCCUUGUCCCAGCUUCUCCCAUGUUCUCGCUCUAUGUUUUUACCUUGAAAACUUCUGCUCUGAGCUGGGAAUGCCUGAAGGGCUUGCACGUGAAGAAGAGGAAAGUGAAAUCAAAUAAGAAGACACAGAGUAAAAGGGAAGGAAAGAUUCUUCAUUGCAGCUCUCCAGCAUGGUGGACUUAAGAGUAAAUAUCACCAUCUCUAGUUUUGCCCAUACGGAGCCUCAGAAUCUUAUUUCAUAAUCAAGGACAGUCUAAAUUGGCCAGAUCUCUCUUACUAUGUCUGUGGUGUUUCUGUUACUUGGACCUUUAUAAAUAUUGUGUAAGUUUGGUAGGAAUGAUUGAACCCAAACCACAAAAUA
rnacentral:lncRNA from 1 species